ACUUCUUUAGUAUAAGUCAGUACACCUUCCUUCCAAGAAGCAAGUCUAAAAAAUUUUAGGAGAAGUA
rnacentral:tRNA from 1 species